rnacentral:lncRNA from 1 species
CUUUCCUAACUUUUUAUAGGAUGCAGGAUUUCGACGAUAUGCACGUAGCCUAUAGAGAUAAUGCUCAGAGAGAGCGUUACAUCGCUCUUUAUCAACGCCUUAUGGCGCCCACACGUUAUCCUGAUCAGCACUGCAUGGAGGCACUGGGUAUCGAGCCGAGUAUCCGAUUUCUGAGCCACCAGCUUCAUUGGGACGAGUUCGCUGACGACCUGAGUAACACCUACAGGAACUUGACAUUGG